GCCCAAUCUGAACCUAAGGACAAUAUGGCCAGUGGAUUGUCAAAUCCACCAGAGAAAGGGCUCACCAAACACAGCAGAGAUAGGUCUUUUCAGCCUAAGAAAGAGAAAAAAAAUUAAAAUCCUUUCUCAAGGAGUAGCACAACCGAAAUCAAAGCAAACCUUCACUAAGUCCCUGAGUGUAGGCGGAAUUAGUGAGGUGGCUGAAUUCACAAUGUUGGGUGAUCAGAGGCCAAAGGAAGGUUGUGGCAGUGCCCAACGUGGUGAUAGAGCAAAUAAGGACAAGGCCAAUGGAGGUUUGGGGGUGGUUCAACGAGGAGCAAAAGGAAGCAUGGAGGAGCUUAUUCCCUCUCAAUCUGACGAGUUCGAUGCUGAGGGAUAUGCCUCUCAUGGAUCCGGCGUGGCACUUGUGGCCAAACCCCUGGUGGAAUUUCAAGUCGAACUUACCACCAGCGCAACAGGAAGAGGAUGGUGUUAUGGAGGACCUAUCUGGACGUUUCUUUGGUGCCGGUCUUGUUCACAUUGGAUAGUCCAGUCAAUUUAGAGGAGAGGAAAAUUAGGAGAGUCAACCAAUGGCAACCAGCUGGUAUGGGAAUGCUUACAUAAUGAGACUGAUCCAAGUGUUGAAAAUCAAGGAAUUCCAGGUUCUAAUCAGCUCACAACUGAGGGAGAUGAGUAUAUUGGAGCACGGAGCCUUGUUUACAACCUCGGAAGGCCAAACUUAGACCAGCUUGAAGGAGAUGGGAUGGAGCUUGAUCUCGCAAGGAAGAACAUUGCCUUAUCAAGAUAAAUUCCCUACCCCCAAUCAAUCUGUUACAUGAAGAUUACAAUGAAAUAAUGGGCAUGAGAUCCACGUCUAAUUUUGGGAAGUAUCUUGGUUUUCAACUGAAGCAGCUUGGUUCAAGCAGCCAAGACUAUAACUUUGUCAUUGAAAGGGUGCAAGCUAAACUUGCUAGUUGGAAAGGGAAUCUUCUCUCUUUUGUUGGGAGAAUUGUUCUUACCCAAUCUAUUCUGACCACUGUUCCUUUGUAUGCAAUGUAGAAUGUUAUGCUCCCUAAUUGUGUUCUUGAAUCAUUGGAUAAGGUAACUAGGAAUUUUAUCUAAGGGUCUACUCCGGACAAAAGGAAAUUGCACAUGGUUAGUUGGAGCACGAUCACCAAAGCCAAGAAGGAAGGUGGGCUUGGUCUGCAACCUGCAAAGCCUAAAAAUUUGGCCUUGAUGGCCAAGUUGAAUUGAAGAUACAAGAUGGAGAAAGACAAGGAUUGGGCUAAGGUUUUAUGCAGCAAGUAUAGGAAUCCCAAUGGGAGUGGUUCUUAUGUUUGGAGGGGUGUGAAGCAGGGUAGUGGCAUUCUUGAGAAAGGAAUUAAAUGGGUAGCUGGUUUUGAUUCUAAGUUGAGUUUUUGGUAUGAUAAAUGGAUGGAUAUGGUUAAAAUUAGAAGCUUGAUUGAAAGCCCUUUAAGGAGGGAAGCGGAUAAGUGGAUGGUGAGGGAUGUCCAUGUAGGGGAGAGGUGGGAUUUCUCCAGGUUUUCUUUUGUGUUUCUUGAUAAGAUUUUGAGGAUGCUUAGAGCUGUGCCUUUCCCUUCUAGUUAUUGGUGUGAAGACAAAGUAGUGUGGGGUUACUCACCAUCGGGGGAGUUUGACCAAAAGACUACCCAUGCCAUUGCUAGAGGGGAUAGUGGUCUAGCUGCCAGGUUUGAGGGAGAUUGGGUUUGGAAAGUGGACUCCAUGCCGAGAAUUAAAUGUUUCUUGUGGAAAGUCUGUCACUGAAGCAUUCCAGUGAAGGAAGUGCUCUAUGGAAAGGGCAUCACCCAAGAUGCUCAAUGCUGUGUCUGCAACAAUGAAAGGGAUUCAAUCAUUCAUGCUAUACGAGAUUGUAGUUUUGCUAAAUCUGUUUAGGACAACUUCAACAUAGCUUCGGAUUUUCCAGAUUUUUAUAGCCUAGACCUAAUUCCAUGGCUAAAGAUUAACUUAAACCUUCAAUCCCAAAGAUCAGAUUUGAUGCCAUGGAAGGUGAUGUUCUCCUUUGUGGUUUGGAAUUUAUGGGUGCAUAGGAAUAAUGUUGCUUUUAAGGGAGUAAGGUUAAACUAGAACCUUUGGUCUCACUUCAAGCAUGUUGCCACUCAGUUUCUGCUCUAUGUUGGUAAAACAGGUAGGGCGGUGACCAGGGAAGCUAAGAGAGUCCGUUGGUUGAGACCGAGCCCUGGUUGGGUGAGGUUGAACACAGAUGGUUUGUCCUUGGGCAAUCCAGGUAAAGUUGGUGGAGGAGGUUUAAUCCGAGAUGAGAAUGGAAGUUGGAUUAAAGGUUUUAUCUGUAAUAUUGGGUUUUCCUCUAGCAUGGAAGCUGAGUUGUGGGCCCUUAGAGAUGGUCUUUCCUUGUGCUUAUCUCUUAACAUACCUGCCGUGGAGGUUGAGAUAGAUGCUAAGGUUGUAUGUGAUUGGAUUACCAACAGUAAUAGUUCUAAUCUUAACCUUUCCUCAUUAAUUGUGGACUGCAGGACUCUUCUCAGUCGCAUACCUCAGGUCAAGCUCAAUCACUACUUCCAUGAAGCCAACUAGUGUACGUGCUGAUGCACUAGCCAGGAAAGGAAAUCUCUACCAGCAAGAUUUCAUGAUUUUUGAUAGUCCGCCUGUGGAUAUUUUGAUGCUUUUUGUUAGGUUCUAAAGUCUUAGGAUUUUAUGUAUUUAGAACUCUAAUUUGUAUUGUUAACAAACAAUGAUCAAAAUAAUGUGUUUAGAAGUGUUUUAGUCUUGCUCAAA